rnacentral:rRNA from 1 species
GAUGAACGCUGGCGGCGUGCCUAAUACAUGCAAGUCGAGCGAAUGGAUUAAGAGCUUGCUCUUAUGAAGUUAGCGGCGGACGGGUGAGUAACACGUGGGUAACCUGCCCAUAAGACUGGGAUAACCCCGGGAAACCGGGGCUAAUACCGGAUAACAUUUUGAACCGCAUGGUUCGAAAUUGAAAGGCGGCUUCGGCUGUCACUUAUGGAUAGACCCGCGUCGCAUUAGCUAGUUGGUGAGGUAACGGCUAACCAAGGCAACGAUGCGUAGCCGACCUGAGAGGGUGAUCGGCCACAUUGGGACUGAGACAAGGCCCAGACUCCUACGGGAGGCAGCAGUAGGGAAUCUUCCGCAAUGGACGAAAGUCUGACGGAGCAACGCCGCGUGAGUGAUGAAGGCUUUCGGGUCGUAAAACUCUGUUGUUAGGGAAGAACAAGUGCUAGUUGAAUAAGCUGGCACCUUGACGGUACCUAACCAGAAAGCCACGGCUAACUACGUGCCAGCCGCCGCUGUAA